rnacentral:rRNA from 1 species
CCUACGGGUGCGCAGCAGUGAGGAACAUUGGUCAAUGGGCGGAAGCCUGAACCAGCCAAGUAGCGUGCGGGAUGAAGGCCCUACGGGUCGUAAACCGCUUUUGCACGGGGAUAACACCCUCCACUUGUGGAGGUCUGCAGGUACCGUGCGAAUAAGGGCCGGCUAAUUCCGUGCCAGCAGCCGCGGUAAUACGGAAGGCCCGAGCGUUAUCCGGAUUCAUUGGGCUUAAAGGGAGCGUAGGCGGGCGUUCAAGUCAGCUGUAAAAUCGCGCGGCUCAACCGCGCCCCGCAGUUGAAACUGACACCCUUGAGUGAGUGAGAAGUAAGCGGAAUGCGUGGUGUAGCGGUGAAAUGCAUAGAUAUCACGCAGAACGCCGAUUGCGAAGGCAGCUUACCGGCGCUCAACUGACGCUGAGGCACGAAAGUGCGGGUAUCGAACAGGAUUAGAUACCCGGGUAGUC